rnacentral:rRNA from 1 species
AUUGAACGCUGGCGGCAUGCCUUACACACGCAAGUCGAACGGUAACAGGUCUUCGGAUGCUGACGAGUGGCGAACGGGUGAGUAAUACAUCGGAACGUGCCCGAUCGUGGGGGAUAACGAAGCGAAAGCUUUGCUAAUACCGCAUAAGAUCUACGGAUGAAAGCAGGGGACCGCAAGGCCUUGCGCGAACGGAGCGUCCGAUGGCAGAUUAGGUAGUUGGUGGGAUAAAAGCUUACCAAGCCGACGAUCUGUAGCUGGUCUGAGAGCACGACCAGCCACACUGGGACUGAGACACGGCCCAGACUCCUACGGGAGGCAGCAGUGGGGAAUUUUGGACAAUGGGCGAAAGCCUGAUCCAGCCAUGCCGCGUGCAGGAUGAAGGCCUUCGGGUUGUAAACUGCUUUUGUACGGAACGAAAAGACUCUUUCUAAUAAAGAGGGUCCAUGACGGUACCGUAAGAAUAAGCACCGGCUAACUACGUGCCAGCCGCCGCAGUAA